rnacentral:rRNA from 1 species
GUGGGGAAUAUUGCACAAUGGAGGAAACUCUGAUGCAGCAACGCCGCGUGAAGGAUGAAGGUUUUCGGAUUGUAAACUUCUUUGAUCAGGGACGAAGAAUGACGGUACCUGAAAAACAAGCCACGGCUAACUACGUGCCAGCAGCCGCGGUAAUACGUAGGUGGCGAGCGUUGUCCGGAAUUACUGGGUGUAAAGGGCGUGUAGGCGGGGAUGCAAGUCAGAUGUGAAAGCCCAUGGCUCAACUGUGGGACUGCAUCUGAAACUGUGUUUCUUGAGUGCUGGAGAGGAAAGCGGAAUUCCUAGUGUAGCGGUGAAAUGCGUAGAUAUUAGGAGGAACACCAGUGGCGAAGGCGGCUUUCUGGACAGUAACUGACGCUGAGGCGCGAAAGCGUGGGGAGCAAACAGGAUUAGAAACCCUUGUAGUCC